CCUAGAAAAGUAAAACCAUAAAUGAAAAGUGAAACAAAACCACCCUAGGCCAAAAAACAAAGCAGUUAACAAGCAAAUAUCAACCAAACAGCUUCAUUAUCCUUUGAAGAGACGAUCUAAAUAUGAACAAAAGGAAACCCAAAAGCUUUAAGUCCAGCCAUGGAGAUUCAAAGAACCUUCUCCAUUUUCAAAGCAUUCUACGACGAAUUUUGGUAUCUCUGUGCCCAAACUCUCCGAUCUUUCUCCACCAACAUCUUGACAGAAUCCGGGACUUCAUCAGCCCAAAACCUAGAAUGUUGUCUUCUCCUUCCUUCCAUCGCCAGGGUAUGGGCCACUCCAUUAACCAAUCGGGGAACAAAAAGCUCAAACUACUAUUAGUUGGAACAGUUCGGAUUUGAAGGGACGUCCAUACACUCUAAAAGAUGUCGCAGGACCAUAGAAGAUGAUCCAUGUCUUCUGGUGCUUUCUUGCAAAGAGGACAAGUAACAUCAACCCUCAAUGUUCUUUGUAACAAAUUACUGUAAUGAGGCAGAAAAUUGUUAAGCAAUCUCCAUAGAUGUAUUUUAAUGUUUGCUGGGAUGUGCAUAGGCCACAAAGACUUGUAAAAAUCCUUUUAAGCCUCAAAAUUAGACGUGAUGUAAUUAUUGCUCUGUAGAUAUUCCAUAACUAGUACCUGAUA